AUGGUCGCAGCAGAUUGGCCUGGCAAGCUUUUCAUUGGUGGCCUCUUUCUAGAAACCAGUGAAAAGAUUCUUAAACCAGUAUUUGGGAAAUACGGUCCCAUAUUGGAAGAAUUCUUUGAAUGGAAAACCAAUAAAAGUAAAGCAAUUCAACAAAUUAUCUUUUCAAAGUGAUGGUAGGUGGAGAUCAUCACCUUCUUGGAGCAACAGCAGCUCUUCAGGAAGUCUAAGAUCUGCCAGAGGAGGUAGUAGAGGAACAAGCGGGUUGCAUCCCUCAUGUGAAGGACUCUUGGAAGAUGGUGGAUACACUCUUGAUCUCAACGUGACUCCUUAUAGGGGAACAUUUCCAGUUAAAAAAGGUCCAUCUUCAAGAAGUAGAGAUCCUCUUCCUAAAAAAUCUGCUCCUUCUACUGUGGCAAGAAGCAAUAGUGGGAUGGGAGGCCAAGCCCAUGUCACUUGGAUGAGAGAAUUAUGGAGGUCCUCCACACAGAGAGCCAGUCUCUUCCUGGAGAAUUGACCUUGUGUCACCAAGAGAUGAGGGUUAUGCAACUAAGGAUAGAAUUCAUACAAGUUUCCGAGACACCAGGGAUGAUGCUCCACUGUGUAGAGAUUAUGGAUACCAUGAUUCUGGUGGUUCUAGUAGGGAUGAACAGUCCUCUAGAGGAAUUUAGUGACUGUGAUGGCUACAGAGUGGGCCAUGGUAGAGAUCAUUCCGAAAGUCCAAGUGGAAGUUCUUACAGAGAUGCAUAUCAGAGUUAUGGGACCUCUCAUGGUGCACCACCUGCACGAGAGCCUUGGAUGAGUUAUGGUGGAAAUAGUUGCUCUGAUUAUAACAGUACAUGAGAUAGAUAUGGCAGAAGUCAGGAGAGUUACUCACGGAGCUGUGGUAAUUUAUAUUCCUGUUUUCAUGAGCACAAUGGCAGGAAGGAAUGAAGGAAUCUACCUUUUCUGGAUAGGGUGCACCCUUCUCCUCGUGAAGGAUGUGGUAGCUCAAGUUAUGGGGCACUUACAGGAAGUGGUGGGGCAAGCCAAGGUGAAAAAGGAGACUGAAGCAGAUAUUAA
rnacentral:lncRNA from 1 species